rnacentral:rRNA from 1 species
GAUGAACGCUGGCGGCGUGCCUUAUACAUGCAAGUCGAGUGGGUUUAGACCCACGGCAAACGGGUGAGUAACACGUAGGUACUUUCCUUGUCACAGGAAUAACCCUCCGAAAGGAGGGCUAAUACCUGAUGUGAUCGCAAGAUUAAAGGGUAUCCGCAAGGAUUACCGGACAAGAAGAGGCCUGCGGCCUAUCAGCUAGUUGGCGGGGUAAAUGCCCACCAAGGCUAUGACGGGUAGCUGGUCUUAUGAGGAUGAUCAGUCACAUGGGCACUGAGACACGGGCCCAACUCCUACGGGAGGCAGCAGUAGGGAAUUUUGCGCAAUGGGCGACAGCCUGACGCAGCGACGCAGCGUGCGGGAUGAAGGCCUUCGGGUCGUAAACCGCUUUUAUAAGGGACGAACUUUGACGGUACCUUAUGAAUAAGAGGUUGCUAACUCUGUG